rnacentral:rRNA from 1 species
UACGAAGGGGGCUAGCGUUGUUCGGAAUCACUGGGCGUAAAGCGCACGUAGGCGGACUUUCAAGUCAGGGGUGAAAUCCCGGGGCUCAACCUCGGAAUUGCCUUUGAUACUGUAGGUCUCGAGUCCGGAAGAGGUGGGUGGAAUUCCUAGUGUAGAGGUGAAAUUCGUAGAUAUUAGGAAGAACACCGUGGCGAAGGCGGCCCACUGGUCCGGUACUGACGCUGAGGUGCGAAAGCGUGGGGAGCAAACAGG